rfam:Danio rerio chromosome 4, GRCz11 reference primary assembly.
GUCUCUGUGGCGCAAUCGGUUAGCGCGUUCAGCUGUUAACUGAAAGGUUGGUGGUUGAAGCCCACCCAGGGGCG